CUAUCAGUAGGGCGAAGUUCAUCUAGAUAGGUGGUGAACGACGACGUACUGACAGC
rnacentral:pre_miRNA from 1 species